rnacentral:rRNA from 1 species
AACGAACGCUGGCGGCAGGCUUAACACAUGCAAGUCGAACGCCCCGCAAGGGGAGUGGCAGACGGGUGAGUAACGCGUGGGAAUCUACCCAGUUCUACGGAACAACUGAGGGAAACUUCAGCUAAUACCGUAUACGCCCUAAGGGGGAAAGAUUUAUCGGAAUUGGAUGAGCCCGCGUUGGAUUAGCUAGUUGGUGAGGUAAUGGCUCACCAAGGCGACGAUCCAUAGCUGGUCUGAGAGGAUGAUCAGCCACACUGGGACUGAGACACGGCCCAGACUCCUACGGGAGGCAGCAGUGGGGAAUAUUGGACAAUGGGCGCAAGCUUGAUCCAGCCAUGCCGCGUGAGUGAUGAAGGCCUUAGGGUUGUAAAGCUCUUUCAGUGGGGACGAUAAUGACGGUACCCACAGAAGAAGCCCCGGCUAACUUCGUGCCAGCCGCCGCGGUAAAAC